GGGAAUGGCCAUAGCUCAGUGGCAGAGCUCUUGCCUUGCAUGUAGAAGGUCCCAGGUUCAAUUCCCCAGCAUCUUCA